rnacentral:rRNA from 1 species
CCAGACUCCUACGGGAGGCAGCAGUGGGGGAUAUUGCACAAUGGGGGAAACCCUGAUGCAGCGACGCCGCGUGGGCGAAGAAGUAUUUCGGUAUGUAAAGCCCUAUCAGCAGGGAAGAAGAAAUGACGGUACCUGAGUAAGAAGCACCGGCUAAAUACGUGCCAGCAGCCGCGGUAAUACGUAUGGUGCAAGCGUUAUCCGGAUUUACUGGGUGUAAAGGGAGCGCAGGCGGAUUGACAAGUUGGGAGUGAAAACUACGGGCUCAACCCGUAACCUGCUUUCAAAACUGUCAGUCUUGAGUGGUGUAGAGGUAGGCGGAAUUCCCGGUGUAGCGGUGGAAUGCGUAGAUAUCGGGAGGAACACCAGUGGCGAAGGCGGCCUACUGGGCACUAACUGACGCUGAGGCUCGAAAGCAUGGGUAGCAAACAGGAUUAGAUACCCCAGUA